rnacentral:ncRNA from 1 species
UCCAUCGUGAGGUGGAAUCGGAAGGAAGCUGUAGGCAAACCUUUGGUCCGACGAACAGGAAUCACAUAUAAGGCUCUGAAAUACGGAUAAGUCUGCAAAAGAAGAUAAAGUCCGAAAGUUGCCGGAAGUAGGAGUAAAUGUGGGGAUAGAUGAAGGGAAAGAGCGUGCACC